rnacentral:lncRNA from 1 species
UGAAUAAAGCAUCAAUUCAAUAUGUGAGAGUUUCAAUAGGAUUACAUCGUUUCCCCAACAACAAUGGAGGUUUAGUUCACCAUAGACAUGGUACAACUAGAUGAAAUUGAUGAAAAGAAUGAAAAGAUAAACCCUAGAUUUGAUAAAUUGGAGCUCCCGCAUCCAAAAUCCACCUCCAAGGGGUGAGAGGUGUGUUUCUGCCUCUCUUCUGCCAAGAGAUAGACCAUCUAGGUCACCCAAAUCUAUUUAUAACUCAUUAAAACGAAGCAGAAACUGGCCCAGGCCCAAAAGUACAACGUUUAGCAGUGGGGACAAUACUCAAGAAGGACGCUCAGUGUUGACGCCCAGGCGUUUUGCAGUGAAGUCACUGAAGAAGCCAACACUUAGCGGUAGGUUGGUGCUCAGCGGUGAGUGCGAUACUCAAAUUCUCCCCUCAGUGUUGGUGCUUAAGCGUUUGACAGAGAAUCCUCCUACUAAACUGGCGCUCAGCGCUAGGAUAACGCUGAGCGGUGGUUGCGUUUCUUCUUUUCUUCACUUUUCCACCUUCUCUUGAGUCCAACUCCUUUCUCCUUCAACCUCCUUCAUUCAAUUCCUGAUAAAUCCUGCCAAAUCAUGGGAAAACCAAGCAUAAAACAAAGAAAACCACCUUUGACUCUCUUAUUUCCUAACUUAAGCAAAAUGCAUGAUUUCAAGCUAGUUUCUAAAGUCAUAAAGGGUAUGUUUUGUACCAAAUUUAAGUAUAAAAAUAACGGUUUUUUAACCAUUAUCACAACCCCGAACUUAGAACUUUGCUUGUCCUCAAGCAAAUAAAAUGCAACUCAGUCUUCCACCAGUCAUCAGAAUGGUUUAAUCACAUUCAAAACUCUUUUCUUUCAAGACAAGUAAUCACUCAAAUUUGCUCAUCAAUAGAAUUCAGUCAAGAUGCACACAUGCCUUCAUUCUCAAUGCUUAUCAUGGUGCUCACACAAUCAUAUAAUAUCCAACAAAAUUUGAUGAGUUGUCGCGGCCCAUACAAAUUUGAUUGCAUAUAAGAAAUGCAGUAUAGCUAGGAAAUGACCCCUAGCUCAUCUCCCAAGGACCAACUGCGGUUCAGAAUCAAGUCAAACACGAAGGUGGGGGGGCGGGGGGUUUGUGAAAGGUUUGCGUGGUGAAUGCGGAAAAAUUAAAAUGAAAUUACAUUAAAACGCAAAUGUAAAAACGUAAUUAAAUUCAAUUAAUACGAAAUUAAAUGCAACAACACAUUUCACCAUGCAUGAAAAUGAAAUUAAAACAGUAAAAACGAAAUUGCUACAGUAAAUACGAAAAUUCACGCUGGAACUGGACAAC